AUGUGGAGGGAGAAACCCUGUGUAUUCUGGACCAGGAUCAGUCAAUAUGUGGAGGGAGAAACCCUGUGUAUUCUGGACCAGGAUCAGGUAUCAGUCAAUAUGUGGAGGGAGAAACCCUGUGUAUUCUGAACCAGGAUCAGGUAUCAGUCAAUAUGUGGAGGGAGAAACCCUGUGUAUUCUGAACCAGGAUCAGUCAAUAUGUGGAGGGAGAAACCCUGUGUAUUCUGAACCAGGAUCAGGUAUCAGUCAAUAUGGGGAGGGAGAAACCCUGUGUAUUCUGAACCAGGAUCAGGUAUCAGUCAAUAUGUGGAGGGAGAAACCCUGUGUAUUCUGAACCAGGAUCAGUCAAUAUGUGGAGGGAGAAACCCUGUUUAUUCUGAACCAGGAUCAGGUAUCAGUCAAUAUGUGGAGGGAGAAACCCUGUGUAUUCUGAACCAGGAUCAGGUAUCAGUCAAUAUGUGGAGGGAGAAACCCUGUGUAUUCUGAACCAGGAUCAGUCAAUAUGUGGAGGGAGAAACCCUGUGUAUUCUGAACCAGGAUCAGGUAUCAGUCAAUAUGUGGAGGGAGAAACCCUGUGUAUUCUGGACCAGGAUCAGUCAAUAUGGGGAGGGAGAAACCCUGUGUAUUCUGAACCAGGAUCAGUCAAUAUGGGGAGGGAGAAACCCUGUGUAUUCUGAACCAGGAUCAGGUAUCAGUCAAUAUGUGGAGGGAGAAACCCUGUGUAUUCUGGACCAGGAUCAGUCAAUAUGGGGAGGGAGAAACCCUGUGUAUUCUGAACCAGGAUCAGUCAAUAUGGGGAGGGAGAAACCCUGUGUAUUCUGGACCAGGAUCAGUCAAUAUGUGGAGGGAGAAACCCUGUGUAUUCUGAACCAGGAUCAGUCAAUAUGUGGAGGGAGAAACCCUGUGUAUUCUGAACCAGGAUCAGGUAUCAGUCAAUAUGUGGAGGGAGAAACCCUGUGUAUUCUGAACCAGGAUCAGGUAUCAGUCAAUAUGUGGAGGGAGAAACCCUGUGUAUUCUGGACCAGGAUCAGUCAAUAUGGGGAGGGAGAAACCCUGUGUAUUCUGAACCAGGAUCAGUCAAUAUGGGGAGGGAGAAACCCUGU